GCGCUGGCAUGGGCCAGGCUGGCCAGUUGGCGUUGCAGGUCGUCCAGGGCUUGCAGGGUGAUCGCCAGUUCCAGGCCGGCGCCGCCGUU
rnacentral:tRNA from 1 species